rnacentral:rRNA from 1 species
CCUACGGGCGGCUGCAGUGAGGAAUAUUGCGCAAUGGAGGCAACUCUGACGCAGCCAUGCCGCGUGAAGGAUUGAAGGCCCUAUGGGUUGUAAACUUCUUUUGUAUGGGAAAAAACGCUUCUACGUGUAGAAGCCUGAUGGUACCAUAAGAAUAAGCACCGGCUAACUCCGUGCCAGCAGCCGCGGUAAUACGGAGGGUGCAAGCGUUAUCCGGAUUUAUUGGGUUUAAAGGGUCCGUAGGCGGACUAUUAAGUCAGUGGUGAAAGCCCUCUGCUCAACAGAGGAACUGCCAUUGAUACUGGUAGUCUUGAGUACAAGUGAGGUUGGCGGAAUGUGUGGUGUAGCGGUGAAAUGCUUAGAUAUCACACAGAACACCGAUUGCGAAGGCAGCUGGCCAACUUGUAACUGACGCUGAGGCACGAAAGUGUGGGGAUCAAACAGGAUUAGAUACCCGAGUAGUC